UCUAGGUUUAAUGAACCCCUAUAUCUAGGUGCGUGGGAAGGAUCUACCUGGAGCAGUGAAGGUGAUGCCUCUAGGUCUAGAUGCUGCAAUCAAGAAGAGAGUCUCUGGAGAGUUUAAGUCUGAGAAAUCUGGAACAAGUCUGACAUUCUCAAAUCAAUCAACAAAUCAAUCGAUUUCAUUCGAUCAGACAUCAAAUCAAUCAUUUCAGCAGAAGUCAUCUCUCAACAAGAUGUCAUCCGAAAAACAGAUGUCAUCCAUCAAUGAGGUUUCAUCCGACAAGCAAAUGUCAUCCUUCAACGAGAUAUCAUCCAUGAGCAAGAUGUCUUCCUCAUCCAUGUCUAGCUCCAAGAUGACAUCUAUGUCCUCCCAGAUGUCAUCCCAGAAGUCCUUUCAGCAGACUUCUUCGUCAUCCAUGGAAAUUAAAUCAUCCCAAACUAGUUCCAGGGAGAUGUCAUCCAAAACUGCUCUCUCCAACAAAUCCUUGUCAUUCCAAAACCAGGAUCUUGGAGUCCAUGAUGUACAUGGUCUUGAGAUUCAACAAACUGGACUCAAGGAUCAAAUAUAUUCUGCUAUAACAGAUUUAGAACAGGAGAUCAGCCAAGAGUUUAAGGAAAAUAUUCCUGGGAAUCUAAAGUCUCCAACUCCUCAAGCGUUUUCUCCCCAUACUAUAGAGCAGGAGACCUUCGCUCCCUCCCCCCUCAGCAAAGAUUUAUUCUCCCCUCCCCCACUUGAACCUGUUCAGCUCAUUCAACCAGCGCCAUUUUCUACCAAGCCAUCAGCUGAAGUUCAAAGAAAUGCGCGGUUUUCUCCAGAACCGGUUUUCUCAGAGAUGCCAGCUGUUCAGCCGAUGGAACCGAUUGGAAUUCCGCUUCAGAUGAUGCAAAAUGGCUUCGCAGAGUUCAGCAAGGAUGAUAACACGAGUUGCCGGUUACGUCGGCCGGGAGAGUUCAAGCCUAGAUCCGGCCGACCUGUUUCACUUCCGGCCGAUUUUUCAAUAAGUUCUAUUCCUUUAGAUUUACCGGAAUUGAGUUCACUUCCGGUUAAAAAACCGGAAAUGGAAUUAUUAGCUGAGGAGGAAGAACCUGAGGAUUUUUCAACGAAUAUUGAGAUGAAGCAAUCUGUUGUAGAGAAAUCAUUUUCCCAAAACAUCUCCUUCGAGGGGAGCCAACUUCAGGAAUCAGGGAGUAAUAGCUCCCUGCUGCAGAAGAUAAUGACUCCCGCUCCAGUAGAGUAUGAUACUGGCUCCCUAAAACGCAGGGACCCUAGGAAGAUGUUUACUGAUUCUUCCUUCUAUAGUGCUAAACAUCAUCCUACUGUAGCAGAUCAGGUUGAAAUGGCGCACAAGCUGACCAGCGCGCUGUUUAAAGAUGAGAACAAGAAAAGCAAAGGACAACAGAUGUACAUGAACAGAGCCCAGAAUGCAGGACAAUGGGUACAUAAACUCCAUGGAGAUGGUGAUGAUUAUGAUGAUCAACCAAAGCAUGCUUCAGUUCCUAACCUCAAGCUUGUUAUGAACCCUGAAGGAAAAGUUCACGAAUGGAGUGAUCUAGAUCCGUCUGAGCUUCCUAACGCUCAUCUUUUGGCUGGUCAUGCUGCUCCGUCCCAGGCCUCCCCAGACAUUCUCAACCCUGUCCUAGAGGACAUGAACUCUACAAUGGGUAAAGGCGGAGAAUUGUUUGCUAAGAGGCGGAAGAGGGCGGAGAAGUGGGUUGUUGACGAGACAAGUAUUGGGCAAAACAAACCAUCCGCCUUUGCUGAUCAGUUCAUUCAAGAUCAGCUUUCUCAGCAACAGCUUUUCAAGCAGCAGCAGCAGUUAGAACAGGCUGCCCUCAGCUCCGAGCAGAACCAACAGCUUUGGCAACAACAGCAGCAGCUCUCACAAGAGAAGCAACAGUCUCAGCAGCAGUUUCAUCAGCAGCAGCUCAUUAAACAGGAGCAGUCGUUAGAAAUCAGGAGGAAACAAGAGCAGCAGAAAAUGCUCAGUGAGAAUAUUGAGCUGCCGGCUAACUUUCAGCCUACAUCCCUGAAGGCACGAAGCUUUACUCCUUCCUUGGACCUUGGAAUUCAUAAUGUUCAAGGGAUCAACGUUUGGGCAAACACCGCCCCAAGAGGGUGGGGAGCACAAAAAGGAAGUGUUCGUACCCUGCCCAGUGUUUCAGUUUGUCCUGCUACACCCUCACUUGAACUGAAGAUGGAGCAAAACUACUCCAGCAGGCAGGAGUUCUCUAGUAAACAGGAGUUUUCCAGUAAGCAAGAGUUCUCUAGCCAGCAUCAGGUGUUUGAAGAACAGCAAAUGAGGGAGCAGAUGAAAAUGGAAGAGCAGCAAAGGAUUCAGCAGGAGAGGACCCAUAUGGAGGAGAAACAGCGCUUGGAAGAACAGCAUUAUAUCGAAAAGCAGAGACAUAUGGAAGAACAGCAGCGUUUGGUAGAACAGCGCCAUAUUGAGGAACAAAAGAGACAAUUGGAGGAGCAACGUAAUAUGGAAGAACAGCAACAAAUAGAGGAACAGAGGCUUAUGGCAGAACAGUAUCGUUUAGAAGAACAACGUCGACUGGAAGAGCAGCGCCAUAUGGAGGAACAGCGUCACAUGGAAGAACAGCGACGAUUUGAAGAACAGCGCCAACUAGAGGAACAGCACAGAAUGGAAGAGCAGCGUCGUAUGGAAGAACAGCAUCGUAUGGACGAACAGCGCCGUAUGGAAGAACAGCGCCGUAUGGAAGAACAGCGCCGUAUGGAAGAACAGCGCCGUAUGGAAGAACAACGCCGCAUGGAUGAACAGCGCCAUAUGGAAGAGCAGCAGCGGAUGGAAGAACAGCGCCGUUUGGAGCAACAGCAGGAAGAACAUAGGCAUAUGGAGGAGCAUAGAAUGUUUGAACAGAGAAAGGUAGAAGAGCACAUGAUGAUGGAGCAAAGAAAAAAGGAGGAACAGAGAAUUUUCCAAGAGCAAAGUAGCCGCAUGUCUGUUAACUUGGAAGAAGAGAAGAGACGUGAAUAUGAGGAGUGGUUCAAGAACCAGGAGAAGUCUGCGCUGGAGUACUCAGCUAGCGUCCAAUAUCAAGAGUCUACACAAGCAAUGGAGUCCAUGGAGAUUAAGGAGUCUUGUAUUUCCAGCAGGCAUGAGGUCUUCUCGGUCCAGCAAGCCAGCUCUUCUAAUAGAGUAGAUUCUAAAACAAUCAGAAAUCAACCAUCACACCCAUCACCAGCUCAAAUUUCUUCAUUGUCUCUUAAUAAUGGAAUGGAUGUGUCCCAGUCAUUCAAUACAUCCCAGCAGAUGUCCUUCAAUGAAACUUCCUCUUCCUCCAACCAAGAGGUUUAUGAGGGAACCCAAUUUGGAAGUGGUGUUCUGAAGGGAUACAAACGUAAAGAUGAAUCAAUGCUAACCAAUGGUGCCUCAAAUGGAGAAGUAAAUGAAUAUGCUUCAAUGGAUGAGGUUAGCGCUCACCACCAACAGUUCAUGAAAGACAAUGGCAUAUUUGGUGGAAUCACUGGAGAUCACAACUCUCUGGUUGAUGAUGAUGUCCAAUUUGAUUACAAAAAGCACUCUGUUAGAGAUCUUGUUGGACACUUUUCUAAAGUGAAACCUAAGGCAGACAUUCCUGUCCAAUAUCUGCCAGAACAAAGAAUAUUUAAUGGAGAGCAGGGACCAUCUCUAAACUAUCUAAGCUCUAAAUCUGAAUCAAGUUCUUCAAACCAGACCAUGACAAGAACUACUCAGUCCAAACAAGAUAUGGAAGCAUCCCGAAUUGAGUAUGAAUCUCGCAAACAAAAGCAAGAACUAACUAUGACCCAGACUAGCCAGUCAUCAACUACCCAAUCAUCUCAAAAAUCAGUUGAGAUGAGAGCAAAAUCUGAACUAUCUGAAGAGCAGAAGCAAAUGCUGAGUCAACGCCGUCAGUCCCUCAGGGACUAUCUUCUAAUGGAUCCUGCCACUACCCAUGCUAAUGCUGGAAUUAUAGAUCCAUCAGCCAUAUUGAGAGGUGAAAAUAUCACCCAAUGGAACCAAUCCAAUAUCUCCCUUCAAACCUCUAAUUCUGCUUCUCCAUCCUCCAAAUUGUACAUUAGUAAACCCUCUGGUCCUAAACCAUAUGGCCAAACCCUUCCUAGAGCCUCUUCUAAGUCCAUGUCUUUUCAUUCCAGCAAUACUUCCUCUGUUAACUCCCAGGCCAUUAUUCAGCAAGAGUCUUCUUGUCCUCUUCCCAAAGUUCCUGAAAUUGUUGAAAAUGUUUCUCCUUUUUCAAAUCCUUUGAUUGAUCCACCUUCUGAUGUUUCCUUCCCUCCUAUUUCUAGUUCAUUUCUUUGUCCUCCUGACAGUGAGCCUAAAUACCAGGCCACUGUUCAAGCUACUUCCAAACAGUUUGAACAUGUUUCCUCUCCCCUAGUAAUUGAUCCAAUAGCUCCUGAACCAAGCGUACUUUCAAAUCAGGCUCCAGGACAGCUUAUAACAAAUACUAACACACACAAUGCCCAAUUUGUACAUAACACUGUGAUUAAUUCUAGUUUAAAGACACUAGGCCACUUAGUAGAAGAAUUACAACCGGCUGUUAGCUUAUCCCUGCCUGACUUAUCCCGGUCUGCUGCUUCCACACCUCUUCCCACCAAUCCUUUCCCUCCACUUGAUAACCAUCCAGUCCUUUUCACAACACCAACUCUUGGUCCUUGUCUACUUCCUACCCGUCCUAGAACUCCUCUAUCUAACCGCCCAGCAUCAGUUGCUUCCACAAAUCACCUCCCCACUUUCCGUCCUUCCUCUGUUACACUUGACAAACGCUCCAGCCAUAUGUCUAAAGAGGACAUUGCUCGAAUGAUGGCCGAACUUAAUGCUCCUCUUCCUCCCAUGAUUCCUAUUCCUCAAGAUAUUCGUGCCUCUCCUCUCCUUUUUUCCUCACGAGGAUCAGGAACCCCCUCAUUCACUGGCUCCAAGAUCUAGCAGAACCUCCCUAGUCAGGCUCUGAUGAAAGGUCAGGAAAUGACGGCCUGCUUACUCGUGCAAAUUUGCAAGGUGAGUCUGAGACGUCCUCUAACAAGUGGGACAAUCAU